AAGCCCCCGAGGACGAUGUCCUCACUAGGAGCAGGCGGUGCAAGAGGAUAAACGAGGACCUGAUUACAACUGCUGAAUCGAGUCCCAGCGGACAAGAUAAUGAUGCCGAUGAAACUGCAUCGCCUCCCCCUACCGCGAAAAGUUCAACAAGCUUUUUUGCUAUCGAGGAUAACUUAGACCUCUCUGACGAUGACGAUGAUGUUCCUCUCGCAAAGACGGCUAAGUUAUUCUCCGGGAAAUCUGAGUCAACCAAGGAGCCAAAUCCUUCGCCUGCCAAAUCGACGCCGCCCUCACGGACGACCGUAGAGAAGAUUCCGGUGUCGAAGGUUAUCCCUUCAGGCAAUUCCGUCAGCCGCCCGCGACCAUCCGAUUUAUGCCACAGUUGACACUGUGGCAGAUUUUGUUGAGCAAUUCACCUGUCUGGAGUCUGAAAAUGCUCAUCUUCGGAAGACCAUCAAGACAAUAGUAGGACAAGCCUCAUCAGUGGCGCAGUAAAAAUGGAUUCUGUGGCGCAUGGGGGGUGCGCCACAGAAACGUCGCCACAAAA